rnacentral:rRNA from 1 species
GGGCGGGGCCUACGGGAGGCAGCAGUGGGGAAUAUUGCACAAUGGAGGAAACUCUGAUGCAGCAACGCCGCGUGGAGGAUGACGCAUUUCGGUGUGUAAACUCCUUUUAUAUGGGAAGAUAAUGACGGUACCAUAUGAAUAAGCACCGACUAACUCCGUG